UGCAGUCGACGGCAGCGCGGGGCAACCUGGCGGCGAGUGGCGCAUGGGUGAGUAAUAUAUCGGAACGUACCCUGGAGUGGGGGAUAACGUAGCGAAAGUUACGCUAAUACCGCAUACGAUCUAAGGAUGAAAGUGGGGGAUUCGCAGGAACCUCAUGCUCCUGGAGCGGCCGAUAUCUGAUUAGCUAGUUGGUAGGGUAAAAGCCUACCAAGGCAUCGAUCAGUAGCUGGUCUGAGAGGACGACCAGCCACACUGGAACUGAGACACGGUCCAGACUCCUACGGGAGGCAGCAGUGGGGAAUUUUGGACAAUGGGCGCAAGCCUGAUCCAGCAAUGCCGCGUGAGUGAAGAAGGCCUUCGGGUUGUAAAGCUCUUUUGUCAGGGAAGAAACGGUGAGAUCUAAUAUCUUGCGCUAAUGACGGUACCUGAAGAAUAAGCACCGGCUAACUACGUGCCAGCAGCCGCGGUAAUACGUAGGGUGCAAGCGUUAAUCGGAAUUACUGGGCGUAAAGCGUGCGCAGGCGGUUUUGUAAGUUUGUCGUGAAAUCCCCGGGCUCAACCUGGGAAUGGCGAUGAAGACUGCAAGGCUAGAGUUUGGCAGAGGGGGGUAGAAUUCCACGUGUAGCAGUGAAAUGCGUAGAUAUGUGGAGGAACACCGAUGGCGAAGGCAGCCCCCUGGGUCAAAACUGACGCUCAUGCACGAAAGCGUGGGGAGCAAACAGGAUUAGAUACCCUGGUAGUCCACGCCCUAAACGAUGUCUACUAGUUGUCGGGUCUUAAUUGACUUGGUAACGCAGCUAACGCGUGAAGUAGACCGCCUGGGGAGUACGGUCGCAAGAUUAAAACUCAAAGGAAUUGAYGGGGACCCGCACAAGCGGUGGAUGAUGUGGAUUAAUUCGAUGCAACGCGAAAAACCUUACCUACCCUUGACAUGGCUGGAAUCCCUGAGAGAUUGGGGAGUGCUCGAAAGAGAACCAGUACACAGGUGCUGCAUGGCUGUCGUCAGCUCGUGUCGUGAGAUGUUGGGUUAAGUCCCGCAACGAGCGCAACCCUUGUCAUUAGUUGCUACGAAAGGGCACUCUAAUGAGACUGCCGGUGACAAACCGGAGGAAGGUGGGGAUGACGUCAAGUCCUCAUGGCCCUUAUGGGUAGGGCUUCACACGUCAUACAAUGGUACAUACAGAGCGCCGCCAACCCGCGAGGGGGAGCUAAUCGCAGAAAGUGUAUCGUAGUCCGGAUUGUAGUCUGCAACUCGACUGCAUGAAGUUGGAAUCGCUAGUAAUCGCGGAUCAGCAUGUCGCGGUGAAUACGUUCCCGGGUCUUGUACACACCGCCCGUCACACCAUGGGAGCGGGUUU
rnacentral:rRNA from 1 species